rnacentral:lncRNA from 1 species
CUAAGGGAAAAACAGGGAAACAGGGGAGCUAUGGCGGCUAGAUUUCUAACAGGGAAAAAGGAAAAACGAAAAGAAAGGGGAAGGAUUCGGCUGAUGAAAUGGGAAAAAAAAAGGGGCAAGCUGGGAAGAAGCGGAAGAAGAACAGAAAGAAAAACAGGGGCGGUGGAUGGAGGUUUGAAAGAGCAGAGGAAAGGGAAAAAUCUGGAAUUUAGAGGAGGAAGGUGACGGGCAAGGAGGCGAAAGGAAAACAGGGGACGGCUGAUAAAAAAAGAGGGGCUGGGAAUUUGGAUUGAAGCCAGAAGCCUUCGGCUGUGGAGUGGAAAAAACAGAGCAAAUGGAAAAGAACUAAGGAGCUACGGCAAAACAGAAAAACAGAACAAGAAAAGGGAGUUGCAAAAACCGAACAAGAAGAAAAGGAAUUUCGGGCAAGCAGGAAAACUGAGUGGAGGAGUUGCAAUUUGCUGUUGGCUCCGGAAAUUCCCGCCAUUACCGAUGAACAUUCACCGAGAAGGAGUACGGUAAGCAACCAUUUUACUUUAAAUUUCAGCUUCCAUUCAAGAAUAAAUGCUGGAAAUCCCAACCCCAAAAUCCGUCUCUGGUGA